rnacentral:lncRNA from 1 species
AUUCUGUGGUUGAGAGCUGCUCCCUAUGGAUGUUAAUUCUUCUCUAUUUUAGAUUUUCCACAGGUGUGGGCCCCAUUAGCUCUGGCCACCUGAGAAAGCCCUCAGGCAAAGAGUCGCAGGUGAAAGCCAGCAGUUAGAGGUUCACAGAAAUGAGUGCAGAAGCAUCUUCAGUUGGAGAGCCAUUGCCUCUUGCUGUGAAAUAUUUGGGAAUCUUCAGAAACCAUGAAGAAUAACCUGCUAAAGGGUUUUAUUUUGUCAGUCAAGCUGGAAUGCAGUGGCGUGAACAUUGCUUACUGCAGCUUCAAUCUCCUGAGGUCAAACAAUCUUCUCACCUCAGCCUCGCAAGCAGCUAGGACUACAGGCAUCUCUAUUUUCCACAAAGCAAUAUUGAAGUUAGGCCAAUUAAUAACCCUACAAUGGCUUCUAAGUGUUUGAGGGAAAGGAAGAGUUUCAUGUCUCUCACUUGGAAUCAAAAGCUAGAAAUGAUGAAGCUUAGAGAGAAAGGCAUGUCAAAAGCCACCAUGAGCUGAAACCUGGGUCUUUUGUGCCUAACAGCCAAGUUGUGAAUGCAAAGGAAAGGUUCUUGGGAGAAAUUGAAAAUGUUAUUUGUGUGUUCACAAAUGAUAAGAAUGAGAGCAAAACAACCUUAUUUCUGAUAUGGAGAAAGUCCACGUGAUCAGGAUAGAAGGUCAAACCAGCCAUAACAUUCACUUAAGCCAAAGUCUAAUCCAGGGCAAGAACCUAACUCUUUAAGUCUGUGAAGAGUGAGAGAGGUGAGGAAGCUGCAAAGAAAAGUUUAAAGCUAGCAGAGCUUGGUUCAUGAGGUUUAAGGAAAAAAGCCAUCUCCAUAACAUAAAAGUGCAAGGUUAGGCCAUAAGUGCUGAUAGGGAAGUUGCAGUAAGUUAUCCAGAAGAUCUACCUACAAUCAUUAAUGAACAUGACUAUGCUAAACAAUAGAUUUUUUAUGUAGAUGAAACAGCCUUAUCCUGUAUUAGAAGAAGAAGCCAUAUAAAACUCCCAUAGCGAGUCAGGUGCGUUGGAUCACACCUAUAAUCCCAGCACUUUGGGAGGCUAAGGCAGGAGGAUCACUUGAGCCCAGGAGUUGAGGACCAGUCUGGGCAACAUGGCAAAACCCAGUCUCUACCAAAAAUAUAAAAAUUAGCCAGGUGUAGGGGCAUGUGCCUGUAAUCCCAGCUACUUGAGACUUGCGAGGCUGAGGUAGGAGACUCGCUUGAACCCAGGAGAUCAAGGCUACAGUGAGCCAUGAUCAUGCCACUGCUUUCCAGCCUGGGUGGAAGAGCAAGACUGUCUCAAAAAAAGAACAACAACAACAACAAA